rnacentral:rRNA from 1 species
AACUUUCAACAACGGAUCUCUUGGUUCUGGCAUCGAUGAAGAACGCAGCGAAAUGCGAUAAGUAAUGCGAAUUGCAGAAUUCCGUGAGUCAUCGAAUCUUUGAACGCACAUUGCGCCCUUUGGUAUUCCGAAGGGCAUGCCUGUUCGAGCGUCAUUAUC